AAAAAUAAUAAUAAAAAAGGGAAAUGGAAAAUAAAAGAAAAAAAUAAAGGAGAAAUUAUCUUAAAAAAGUGGCAAAUGCCUAUCUGCAGAGUAGGAUUUUCGAAUAUGAUGAAGUGGGGAAUAAUGUGGAAAGAGUUGUGAUUGAGGAGUGCAAUUCUUGAAAACAAAUUUUGAUCUUGACUACCUGUAUCUAGGUGAAAAUUUUCACCUAUAGUUUCUUCCAUCUUGGCUGUGGCAAUUGUCAAAACUAAAUCAAAUUGGAAAUCAAAGUAGCUUAUCUGACUUUUUCUUUUGCUUUUUGAAGUUUUUUCUGUUAGUGGGUGUAUGUGAAAGGUUGAAAUCUAAAAGUUUUUCUCAAAGCAGAUUUUGGUGGGCAAUAGUUAUGAAUUCAAAUAAGGAAUUCAUAGCUAUGAGUAUUUCCUUCUACCAUUAAGGGCAAAAAAAAAA
rnacentral:misc_RNA from 1 species